rnacentral:sRNA from 2 species
AUGCAUGAGGGAUUGUAGCGGCAUCCUUUUUUGUGGCGCUGUGCAAAGCAAAAGCGGAACAAAAAAGAUACAGCGAAAAGCCCGACCCGAA